ensembl:lncRNA
GAGUACACGUCACAGCGAGCGCGCCGCUUCAGCCUCCCUCGGCCCGAGAGAAAAGCGGGUGGGAGACGGAAUAAUCCUGCUUGUUGGAUACCCUUUAACCUUCAGUGGGACUUGAUAAAGAGAGUGGCAGUCAGAAGACUGGGAUUUAUGCCCAUUAAUUAUCUCUACCUAACUUAGUCUCAGACCCUAUCUUUAAGCCGUUUUAUUGGCUUAAAUGAAUAGACUACAAUCAACUUUGUCAAGCUCAAAGAAUUGUUGAAAGGACCAGAUGAGAUUAUGUGAAAUAAGAUUUAAAAUUUAUGAAACAACAUAUGAUGAGUUACAAUGGGCAUUUCCUAUGUGCCAGAAAUGGUUGGGCACUGGUAAUAAAAAUAGUCCUUUGUGCUUGUGGUCUAGAAAAUGAACAUGUAGAUACAUAUUAGUCCAUGAAAGCAAAUGCUAUAAGAAAAUUUUGUUUGUUUAAUGCUGGUAAUAUUGCAGAGGACUCAAGUCACUUUAUUGGGGAAGAGGGGAAGUGGAAGAAAGGGGAAAUAUCAGGGAAGAUUUGUGACAAGAUGCUAUUUGAAUUGGACCUUGUUGGAUAAAUUCAUUAUAUGUUUGGAGGGAUGGAAAAGCAAACAGCCUGAGCAAAGGCACAGCAGUGUUACAAUGCAUGACUUUGGAAAGCCAAGAAAUUCGGUAUCAUUAGAACACAAAGUUCAUGGAAGUGGAAUAACCAGAAAAACAGACUGAGCAGGUUUUGUGAAGUAUUAGCAAUUGUAUAACUGUCAAUAUGGAAACCCAUAUUAACCACUAUAUAAAUGUUAAUACAGAAAAAUUAUUUGAUUCCAAUAUAGGCUUCUAUUAUAGAAAAUAUACAAGAAACAUAGCACCAUCCCUCACCUCUUGGGUGACUGACCUCUCCAGUUUUGUCCAGACCAAGGCGUUUCCUGGAAUGUGGGACUUUCAGUCUUAAAACGUGGAACUUCCCAGGCAAACUGGGAUGAGUCAGUCACUGUGUUUAUCACAAAAAUGAUCUACAGAAAUUUGACCACAAUAUUCUAUAGUAUCUCUGGAAAUAUAGGCAGUAAUCCAUUUGGUCUGUUUUUUGUGCAAUCUCUGGAUUCCCUAAUGCUUUUCCUUCCAGUUGUUGGCACAUGUGCCAGAGUUCAUGCUUACCUAGAGACAGCUACAGACGCCAGAUCUGUGACUGUGUAAACAGGGCUUAUGGAAUGCAGGGUGUUAAGAUUUUUAUUUGUAACCCUUGACUGACUUUAUCUCCUAAACAGAAAUCUGAGCUCAAGACUAAUCCUAACUCUAUCUGUUAUUAAGAUGAAGUGUGAAAAUAUACUUAAAUCCUUCUUAUAAUUAGCUGCAACAACCAC